GAUGCAAUAUUCUAUGGUUUGUUCAAUCUAUGACAUCUUUAAAUUUUAUCUUCAUUUCCAUUUACAGAUACAACCAGUGCUAUGAAGUAUUCAUUAAGGACAGAUCUUAAAUCAAAGAAAAGAAGGGGAGCGGUCAGGGAUAGGAGUUUAGUGUAACACCCUCAUCCUGUACUUAACCCACAAAAAAAGGUCACCUAGACUGGAAAAGUAGG